UUAGAUGAAAUCUACAUGGAUACCACACUUUAAAAAUGAAUCCCACUUAAAGUGGUGAGACACACAUGAAUUUUAUCUAA
rnacentral:pre_miRNA from 1 species